UUCAGGCCACAACACAUUCGGCUGAGGGAAGAGCCUCGCACAUCUGUCUCUAACCAGACGCAAAGCUCUUAGCACAUGAACAGCACCCAGGCCCCCUUGUCAGCGAACACAGAGCAGAACCACAGAGAGGAUGUCCCCAUCCGGAUGAGUGACAAGUUCCCAUUGUAAGUGUCGGUUACAGAGAGCUGCAGGCCACGGCUCUCGGGAUGGCAGAGCACAGCUGCAGGCCGCGCCAGAGACCUGGCCUCCGGGGUCUGCCUUCAUCAGGAGCUCACAUCUCCAUUCCGUGCUUUUGCUGUCCUGGACUCAACAUCGGUACACGGUCGCUUCUGUCACUCUCUAUUGAACCCCACCCCUUUAUUUUCUUUAGGACAAUUCUAAUACUUGAAGUUGUCUGGUUAGUUCAUUGACUUGCUGACGGUGUGUCUCCCCAUCAUGAGACUCCACCAGUCUCAUACUCCCAAGGACACGGUACAUCUUUAACAAACAGGUUGAAUAAAAAUGACGUUUCUCCCUACUGAUCAUCAUGUGACUGUUUAGGAUUUUUUAAAAGAAAGAUAAUUACUUGAAAAGAAAGGAAGGCUGACACUCCCUCAGCUAUCUGAUCUGCUCAACGCCCAACAACUGAUUUGGCCUGGAUUUUAUUGUUGUAUUUUGGUUUACUUCACUUCACUUUGUUUUUCUUUGAGUUAAUGAGUUGUUCUCAUGUUAUGGAGACAGCAUUAGUAAUAGCUCCGACCUCUUGCCUCUUGGGGGGGUGGGUGCUGGGUGGGGUAAGAACAAUCUAUGUGCAAUCUAUGAAUUUCCACUUUGGUAUCUAAAGGAAUUAUUUCCGUAACCACGAAGUCAAAAGUGACCACGGCUAUGAUGAUGACCAGCGGGCUGGAAGAGAUGAGGUCAUGUUUUAUGGAAACAUCCUGAAUUCAUGUAGCACUGAAUUAACCAUGACCAUCCCCACCACUCCCACACA